AUCACGCUGGCGGCGUGCCUCAGACAUGCAAGUCGAACGAUUAAAGCUCCCUUCGGGGAGUGCAUAAAGUGGCGCACGGGUGAGUAACACGUAAGUAAUCUGCCUUCGAGUGGGGAAUAACCCGGGGAAACCCGAGCUAAUACCGCAUAAUGCAGCGGCACCUAAUGGUGACAGUUGUUAAAGGAGCAAUCCGCUUGAAGAGGAGCUUGCGGCAGAUUAGCUUGUUGGUAAGGUAACGGCUUACCAAGGCUACGAUCUGUAUCCGGUCUAAGAGGACGGUCGGACACACUGACACUGAAUAACGGGUCAGACUCCUACGGGAGGCAGCAGUCGGGAAUUUUGGGCAAUGGGGGAAACCCUGACCCAGCAACGCCGCGUGAAGGAUGAAGUAUUUCGGUAUGUAAACUUCGAAAGAAUAGGAAGAAUUAAUGACGGUACUAUUUAUAAGGUCCGGCUAACUACGUGCCAGCAGCCGCGGUAAUACGUAGGGACCAAGCGUUGUUCGGAUUUACUGGGCGUAAAGGGCGCGUAGGCGGCGCGGUAAGUCACUUGUGAAAUCUCUGAGCUUAACUCAGAACGGCCAAGUGAUACUGCAGUGCUAGAGUGUGGAAGGGGCAAUCGGAAUUCUUGGUGUAGCGGUGAAAUGCGUAGAUAUCAAGAGGAACACCUGAGGUGAAGACGGGUUGCUGGGCCAACACUGACGCUGAUGCGCGAAAGCCAGGGGAGCAAACGGGAUUAGAUACCCCGGUAGUCCUGGCCCUAAACGAUGAAUACUUGGUGUCUGGAGUUUUAAUGCUCCGGGUGCCGUCGCUAACGUUUUUAGUAUUCCGCCUGGGGAGUACGCUCGCAAGAGUGAAACUCAAAGGAAUUGACGGGGACCCGCACAAGCGGUGGAGCAUGUGGUUUAAUUCGACACAACGCGAAGAACCUUACCUGGGCUAGAAUGCCCGUGACAGCCCCAGAGAUGGGGUCUCCUUGGUAAAACUUGGCACGGUGCAAGGUGCUGCACGGCUGUCGUCAGCUCGUGUCGUGAGAUGUUGGGUUAAGUCCCGCAACGAGCGCAACCCUUAUCAAUAGUUGCCAGCGGUUUGGCCGGGCACUCUAUUGAGACUGCCGUUGACAAAACGGAGGAAGGUGGGGAUGACGUCAAGUCCUCAUGGCCUUUAUGUCCAGGGCUACACACGUGCUACAAUGGCAAGUACAAAGCGCUGCAAACCUGCAAAGGGGAGCCAAUCGCAAAAAGCUUGUCUCAGUUCGGAUUGGAGUCUGCAACUCGACUCCAUGAAGUUGGAAUCGCUAGUAAUCGCAGAUCAGCAUGCUGCGGUGAAUACGUUCCGCGGGUC
rnacentral:rRNA from 1 species